GUUUUGAUCAGAAAGGUUUUCACAGUCGUUGAGAGUGGUACUGUUUCUAGAGUCUCUGGCAGUAAAGUGUGUGGUAGUCCCAAGUUAUUCAAUGUUGCUGUAUUAUCCCGUAUAUGGAGUGUGCAUAGUUGGCAAAAGUCUUCAAAGUUCAGUGAAUGUUCAGUUUUGCUCUUGUUCUUCAAGUCGCUCGAGUUAAACGCCGCUGUGCAAGAGUUCUGAAACAGUACCAAAUGAGACAGUGAUGCACCUUUCCGACCAUCCGACCAUCGGGGCUUGCUCUCAAUCGGCUUGGAUGUCGUCAGGAAACAAACCUAAUUUCAAUUUUGCUUUCAGAUAGAACUAACGAAAAGUUCUGAAGGGGGCUUACCUAGAGAAAACGUCACCAAGUUUGGGUAUCACAAUCCUUUUUGUUGUGCGCACGGGAACGAAUGCAUUUUCGAAUGGGAGGGACGGAGAGAAGUUACUUGGCCAUCUCCAUAGAAUGAUUCACAAUAAAAUUCCAAGCGUAUGAUCGAGUGUGCGAGAGCUUACCAGAAAACAUGUGUUCAGGGCCUUCCACUGCUGCUACUGCUGCUAUCGCUGCUCGCGAAGCUGGUGUUUUCCGAUGCCGAGUUGUGACAAAUGUUACUACUCCACUGGCUAGGAAGGAUAGGACCGCACAUCAGUGGACCAUCUUCUGAAGCAGAGUGGGGAAACGGUACACGUCACGCCAACACGGAUCUCCACAAGCGAACCAAGUAGUUAUUAGACGCGAAAAUCCCACGUCGAUGAAAAUUUGUUGUUAGCAAGCGGCGAAAGCGUCAAGGCAACAAGUGAGCGAAGAAGGAAGAAUGAGUGAGAACGAACGUCUAUGGGAGGUAACACGUGAGAGAGAAAUUCGCACAUGAAUCCCAGACGUUUGACGUCAUAACAGUGAGCACACACUUGUGUGAUUACGAUGGUAUCGGUGGGCCGGCCCCCAGUUUUUUUUAAUCCUAUUUUGUAUCUUUCAUGAGCCUGAAACCAUAUCAGAUAUAGGGAGAGCGACUGAUCAGAGAAAAUGGCAGAUAUUUAAGGGCAGCGGAAAGGAGAUGUAUUGCUUUGCACAGGUUACCCGAGGGUUUCCAACGUCACGAUUGACGUCGAGAUUAAGCUUCUAUGGUCGAUAGCGACCGAAUACAUAUUGAUCAUGGGAGUGAAUAGCGAUAACAGGACCACAGAUGGAAAAGAGAUCAAAACCGUGGUAACUAGCACUGAUGUUUUGUUUUCCGACGAAGGUUUUUCCAGUUUGCAGAAAUUUUUGCCCAGAGCGUAGACAACAAAAUUAAAUUUCAACUGCAUCACUUCAUUAUGACACCCGACAUUGAAAAAGCAUGAAGAUCGUUUGCGUAGAUUAUGUGUACCAUCUCUUCAGCUAGCUGAAUCAUGAUUAAUCUUGAGGUAAAGUGAUAACACACGUUUAUCAGAUCAACGCGCCUUUAUUUUCUUGCAGAAAAGAGUAUUUGGUAGAUUUUUAUCAGACGACUCGAUUAGCAAACUUAUGAGGAAAAGACGAAUCAACUACUCUUAGUUUGAAAAGGCGAAUGUAAGAUAGAUAAUUCCCUUUAAUGCGAGUCCUGUUAUCGGAAGUAGUAUGAGCUAGAACAGAUAUCAAUGCAGACGUGUGGAAACCGUCUUGACAUGAAACAAAACGAAGAUUUUAUGACUUUUCCAGCUUAAAUCAUCUGAGAAGAUUCCCUGCCCCGAGUAGUUUACAGUUAUUGUGUUCAGACUUCCAGUUCAUCACGAUCCAUUGGAAAAUCAUAAGAAUAAUGGCGGUAAUCAAUGCAAACAACUUUUGGAAACAAAAAUCUUUCAUCUUUGCAGAAAAUUUUGAAAAUGGGGUACGACUAUGCGUAGAAAAUGUUUCUUUUCCCCCUUUUUCGGAUCAUCUUAGAUAAGGCCAUCUUGCGGUUGCCAACAGGAUGCACUACGGCCCGAUGCCAAAACGAUUUGCAACACAAACAUCCCCUAAGCGUAUUCUGGUAACAUAUAGCCACAGCAUUCCCACACCAAGAAACGUUUGUCUCGUUUAUAUAGCGACACAUCUAUCCUCCGGUCCGGUUCAGCUUCCACUCGAAAAGAACCGAGUUUCUAUGUUUCACCUCUUUAUUAUUUCACUCACCAAACGGAAGCACCUUUGGAAGACGAACAGAAACAAACACCGCCUUAAUCGAACGAAGCAACAGCAUGGUACUCUCAUCGGUCGUUGAUCGCCGCAGGGACCACUUGGCUACGGAACAAAAGAUCGCGGGAGUUACGCACGAGCUCGGUAAACCUGCCAGUAGGCACAGAUAUCUAUCCCCAAAACCCGAGUUUUCGUCUUUACAGUCUUCUUCCGGAAUUUGGUCCGGCUCUCCGUGCAAGGAAGCCGAGUUUCUCUGUUUAUUAUUUUGUGUGUCUCAUUUCUUUCUUACGCAAUGACACUCAAGAAGCAAGAGAAAGGGUAUCGAAACGAGGAAUUUGAUCUACCGAUGGCCAAACAGACCAAGACUGAUAGUGGAGGAUUUCCUCGCGCAGGGCAUUACGUGCAUUGAGGCUGCCAGGAGAUGUUCAAUCACGUAAACGCACACACCUGAUGAGCAUGCGGCGCUUUCUAUUCUCUAUCUGGUCCGGCUUUUAAAAUCAGCCGAGUUUCUUUGUUUUUUUUUUUGUUUUUAUUCUUCACACUAUCUAUUCCUAACCCCGACCCGAACAUAUUUUGCGAGAGGAUUUGCACAAAAAUACGAUACGAUGCGAGAAGGACACCCAUCGGCCAGGGAACAUACGGAACAUUGUUUCGGUGGAAGGCCAACACCAGAGCGUGGUAAUCUUGGAUAGUUUUUGCCGCAACCAGAAUCAUCUUAUUUUCCAGUAAACAUCCCCAAAAACAUCUGAUCAUGCGAUAAAAAUUGUUCUACAAGCUCUCUCUCCACUACUAAGAAGUGAUUUCUGGAGAAUGAACCCCAAACAACAGAUGUAAGCCGCAAUGUGAUUUUGCAGAAAAUAGAAUUUUACUUUUUACAGAGACAGAAUUUUACCGACCGACGAUCACUCCUCGCUAAUGAAUUGAUAAUGAAUCACUGUGUCCUCGAUACAAGAAGCUGUAGGCUCAGAAUUAAGGAAUCAAUUCCGAACAUCGGAAGCGUAAGCACAUUGCAUUUUUCCCAAGACAAGCGUUUUCGUAUUUACAGUGCAGAGGCUAUGAUGAGAUCCAUCAAUGUUUGAGUCCAGUCGCAAAACAAUUCUGCUCGAUAUUUGAACCUAACCCGCCAAAGGGCGAAGAAUGGAAGCUAAGGCGGUAACCCGGUAUAAAAUACACUCCCGACAACCAGAGUUUUACUUUUUUUUAGAAAUUUCAUUGACCAAAUUGGAAGCGAAAUACGAUUAUUAAUCGUCUGCGCAAUAACAAUUUGACGUGUGUGGCAUUUUGGUUCGAGGUUAUAUGCGGUUCGUGCUUGAGCGUUAGACCUUGUUGCGGUUCAUCACCAUCCAUCCACUCGUCGUCCCUGCCUGCACACAUUACUUGGUACUUAACAUGGGGCUCUCCGGCAUCAAUAUUCCCGAGUCUGUCAGUACCCCCCAUCAGCAAACGGAAUCUUCAUGAGACGCGCGCAUGUGGUGGUAGCUAUGCUAAUAUGUUCUACUCUUUUGCAGUCUAUUUUCCGUUCACUAAGCCUAAUCUUCAAGUAGUGAUGCGUUAGAUUUGAUGUGUUUAUGAUAGUUUCGUGUUUAUUGGGCCACGGUACACAGCACAUGUGCGCGUGUGCGUCGGCAGGCUCAUUUUUUGAGGUUUUUCUUAUCUUUCGCAGAAGUGUUACAUUCUAAUAACCAUAAUAAUAAUGAUACUUCCCACUAGAAUUAACAGUGAUUACAUAUGCAUUUAUUCUUGGUUUUGUUUUUAUCUGUAUGGAGCAAUUUUUACUGGCUGUGAAUUAUAAUCAUAGAUUUAUAGGUUAUGUACAACAGAUGUGAAGAAAAACAUGGCACGCUUAGACUAAGGUUUUUUGGGCUUUUUUGUAACAUAUUCUCACUUUUCAUACUGCCUAGAAAUUCUGGGAACGUUAUGUAAUCCUCAUACAUUUAUAUAUUUACAAUCAUAGAUGCUUUCUGUUCAAGCACUCGAAUGAGAAGAAAAUCAUGUUGUAAAAUUAGCACCUUAAGGAGUGAAUUACCAUUGUAGUUGUUGGCAUGACUAACUCAGAGUAAACACACCAAGCAUUUUGUAUUUUAAUGUGCAUUGGAGAGAAGAAAAUUGUUCAGAAUAUUAACCCUGAGGUUCGUGCAAUAUCUAAAAAAUAGUGUGAAAAGUUUAGCUAGUAGAAGUUUUUUUCGUUUGCCAAUGUGUGUGAAUGUAAUAAAAUUACAUGUUAAGAAAAGUAAUCGUGAAAUUGUGUUACUUCUCACGAAGCAAAAAUAUGAACCCAAAUGAGUUUGGAUGUUAUAUUUGUGAGCUAGAUGAAUAAUGGUGAGUUAUCCGGGUUUGUCCUAUACAGGACCCCGAGUGCGCUAGAUGUCCAAUUGUGACGAAAAUAUGGAAAUUUUUAAAGUGGCUCUUGAAGUUUUGUGUAUCCGAGAUAUAGGAUCGAUUGUAGUGGGCUCGGUCUUUUUCGGAACGAUCCAGCCAGCACACAAUCAAAAGUUGUGGUGAGAAAAAUAAGUUUUGUGCAGUUAAAAGAAGAAUGGAUGUAGUGGGCUCGGUCUUCUCCGGAACGACCCAGCCAGCACUCAUCCAAGUUUAGAAUCGAGUCACUAUGGAAAUAAUUUUUCAGAUCGAAGGUUCAAAGUUUAGAUAUUAUACUUGUGAAUUUGGCAAUCCAGGUUAUAUAAGGAAUCAAUGUGAAUUAUGGGGGUUUGUCCAAUACAGGAUCCCGAGUGCGUUAGGUGUUGCAUUGUGAUGGAAAUAUGGAAAUUGUAAAAGUUAUGGCUCGUGAAGUUUUGUGUAUCUGAGAUAUAGGAUCGAUUGUAGUGGGCGCGGUCUUCUCCGGAACGAUCCAGCCAGCACUCAUCCAAGUUUUGAAUCGAGUCACUAUGGAAAUAAUUUUUCAGAUUGAAAGUUCAAAAUUUAGAUAUUAUACUUGUGAAUUUGGCAAUCCAGGUUGUAUAAGGAAUCAAUGUGAAUUAGGGAGGUUUGUCCAAUACAGGAUCCCGAGUGAGUUAGGUGUUGAAUUGUGAUGGAAAUAUGGAAAUUGUAAAAGUUAUGGCUCGUGAAGAUUUGUGUACUGAGGAUAUAGAAACGAUUGUAGUGGGCUCGGUCUUCCUCGGAAUGAUCCAGCCAGCACACAAUCAAAAGUUACAAUUGAAUAUUUUUGAAUAUAAAAUUUGUGCAGUUAAGAGAAGAAUGGAUGUAGUGGGCUCGGUCUUCUCCGGAACGAUCCAGCCAGCACACAAUCAAAAGUUUUGAUGAGUAAAAUUGUUUUAAAGUUAUGAUUGAAUGUUUUUAAAUAUAUAAAGUAUGUGUAGUUGAGAAAAGAAUGGUGUAGUGGGCUCAGUCUUCUUCGGAACGACCCAGCCAACACUCAUCCAAGUUGUGAAUCGAGCCACUAUGAAAAUUGUUGUUUACUUUGAAAGUUAAAAGUUAGAUAUUAUGCUUGUGAAUUUGGUAAUCCAGGUUAUACCACCUCAGUCCUCUCCGGAGUGACCUAAUGCUGGAAAACUUGAGUGAUACAAGAAGAAAAACGAAAAAUGAAAUUUGCUCGAAUGUGUGUUAAAAGUGCUCGGCAUUUGUAUGCUUCACCAACCUGUUUGAAGUUUAUACGAUAGAAAUCAUUCAUAUUCACAGUUUUUGUUAGUGCUUUGACAGCUAUUUCUGAAGUUUUGUAUCUGAAUUUGUGAUUUACGUGAAAUUAUUCGCAAUGCUUUUUUCCCCUAAAUUUUUCCUUAAAUGUUAUUGCAGAGUGCUUAUUUAUUGGAAAUGUUUAUAGUUCAAUGCAAGAAGUGUUUACUCCUGUGAUUGGGUUGAAUUGUACAGUGAUCUGAUAUGUGAAACUGGGUUAUGAUAUUCCAUCAGUAAUAAUUGUAAUUCGUCAAAAAACCUACCCUCAAAUGUAAUUGUGUUUUUUUAUAUGAGGCUUGCAAUUGUAACCAAAGGGCAUACCCUUUCUGUAUUUUGAAUAUUAUUAUGCCAUAGUGCAUCCUAGCUACUACCAUUAUUACUAUCUUAGUGUAUCAUAUGUGACAAAAUUGGCGUUAAGACGCAGUUUGAGCAUGCUUCAUGAAACGCGCAAGAGUAGAGCACAGCGCCCCACACGAGAAGUCCACUGAUGAGAGGUGAUGACAUAGUUUCCGGAGUCACUUACACCCCCCACCAUCUGCACAGCGCAAUUCUACCUGGUUUGGCACAGAUUCUUCAAUCAUCACCAUUCAUCCGUAUUAUGACCUGUCUGCCUGUCUGCCUGUUACACACGAUACAGUACCAUUGCUUUUGAAUGAUGACGAGAUAACCGAAAACUACAGGAAGUGAUGAAUCCUUUACCGCAAGAAGACGUCUAAUGCGCAAACCCGGUCGGCAUUUCCACGAGCUCCACGAGCAUUCCGACACUUUUCGAUAAACACGCGAUCAAAACCCGGUAAACCCUGAACCCUUUUAACGUAACAAUGUCGAAGCCCCCGUGUGUUUUCUUUUAUUUUCAGAUACAUUCAUAUAUUUUCCCGCAUGGUUGGCACCGUUGGGGUACUAUGCGAUUUGUAAUGAUCCAAUCCGGCACUCGAAUAGGCUUUACUCUACUCUCCCUCUUGUAUGCGUGUGGUGUUUUCCCGGCCUUGGGGCGCGCCGAUCGAUCCGGUCUUUGCCAGGAGCGUGCGUUGGCGCAACUAUCCGAGGUGUGGGCUAUUGAGAAAUUCAUCCGAUUUGGGCCUUGGGCUUGCUUUUCCGGGUGGUUCGCUUGGCGCCGUCAUGGGCAUCUACUGUUGCUGCGGUACAAGGAGAUGACUUUAUGGCGUACUGCUGCGAGCUGCGUGCAAAUCUUAGGCGACUUUAACAGUUCUGGAUGUGGUAUCCGAGCAUCUUUUGGGAGCGAAAGACGGCGCAUACAGAGUGGAGUGAAAGUGAUUUAUCAAAAAAUGGAAUGCAGAUUAUUGACCCCCCGGGAUGAAAUGAGUAGCAGUUUAACGUCUUGAGGAAAUUUUUACAUCGUGGUGCAGUUCACAUCGAGUUACUUUGAAUUGGAUGAUAGUGGACCGACAACAGGAUCCAGAAAAUACAUUCCGAUUAUUUUUGUCGACAAAAUGUUAGCAGUUUAUACAACAUCAAUAUGUUGCGAAUUUACCAAGAAAAUCAGCUUAAGAACGAGAAUCAAUUUGACGAGUUUCUCAGAUACAAAGCCAACGGCGCAUGAUACUGAGGAAUCGCUACAACUUUCCGUCCGGGAAUAUCUAGCACAAGUAGCUAAUGUCAGUUACGAUCAGCAAUAGUUCAGAAAUCAGUGAAAAUUCCAUCACUACUCCAGUUUAAAAUAUAACCUGGGGAGAUCCAAAGGUUUCGAUGUUUUUAAAAGUGUUUGAAAAGUUGUUUGAACCAGUUUAUGAUCAAUCCUUCAACCGGUAGAAGACAAUCGAAGCAUUGAAGGGCAAUAUAUCAAGCUUACGCAGUGAUGUUCUUGCUCACCGACAAAAAUGUCUUGUUCCGGGAAGCCGUUCGAGCAGUGCCCUAUACAAUCUGAAGGGCUAAACUGCGUGAAAUAGGAUCAACCAGAUGGAAAACAAUCUGCAGAAUUUUUUGAAACGUUCGCGACAUUCGAAAUAGUAUCUGUGGGUUGACUACAGCCUCCAAAAGCUAUAUACCUCAACCAUGCUACUGGUCGACAAAAAUGGUUUUUUAGACAGCAUCAAAAUGUCGCGAUUUUACCAAGAAAGUCAACUUUAUAAUGAGAAUCCAUAUGACCGGUUUCCUAGGUACGAAGCCAAUGGCUUCCGCUGAUACCUAUCACAAGUUGUGAUGAGCGAUCGUUCAAUCAGAGAACAAUCGACCCCAACAACUUCAGCUGAGAUACAUCCUGACCAGAUCCAAUAAUGCCCUGAUGCAUUCUAAGGUGUUUAUGAAAAGUCAUCAGAAACAAUUCUGCGUAAAAUUAAAGUUACGUAAGUGGCUUCAUCCAUCCAAGGCCAUCGGAGCUUCAACCGUGCAAUACUUCAAGUUUAUGCAGUGAAAUUCAUUCAUCCGGACUUUUCUGUUCCGAGCUGUUUACUGUGCAUUAUUAAGGGUUAAACAGAGUGAAAUGCGGCACUUAUCAGAAGAAAAUUAAUAAGCAGAAUGUCUGCAAAUGUCUUCAAACAAAUUUUGGAAUUCGUCAUUGAAUGUACAAAACAACGAACCAUAAAUUUCCUUCACAACUACCCUUGGAAGUCUCCCCUGUCAAAGAGAGUCUAUCAAUUCUCUCAACUUGGGUGAGUGACUGUCCGACGUUUCCGUUGAAGAAAAAAUACACCAAACCACCGUCGCAUUAGGGCGAAAAAACGCAGAACCAUCUAGAUCCUGUAUUCUACACGAAGCAAGAAAUUCGAAAUUGUGGCAUUAGAAAAUUCGUAAUCCAGCUGCUGGAUCCAAGCUAAUCAUAUUAAGUGUCUGACCAACCCGUUUCAGUUUAGAAAAUUUUCUGAAAACGCAAACAUCAAACGUCAAACUCGAAAUUUUGGUGAGAAGUAACAUUCGUUUAACGGGAAAAAGCAUUAUUGGAAUCCCGUUCUUGUGAGCAGAAAUCAUCAUUAAAUGCAUAAUGCUACAUACAGUGAAAUCCAAUCGUCACGAAAUAAUUGGAAAAGCUUUCAAUGUGGUCAUUAGCAACAAUCUUGAUAGAUGAUCAUCGGGAAAUUAUUGGCUUAGAACGCUUUCAACCAAUUGCGGCUUCGUCGUUAUCGAAUGACGCUUACCCGCUUCCAGUGAAUAAUCAAGUAUUGAGGAUACCCAAUUUGAACCCAUCGCAAUGUCUUGGAAUUGCGGAACCACCACCAGGAUUACGACAGUCGAAUGACUCAUUCACCGGGAGAAUUCUUGUCUGGAAAGUCUUGUGCCCGCAAACCAUAUUGGAUCUCAAAUAGUGUGUGAUACAAUGCCAAGCCAAGAAUGAUCAGCGGUUUCUAUCAAUGCUUACUCAAUGCAUCAACAAAACGACAAGUCAUCUAUUGUUGCAGAAACCUGCGGCAAAGCCGCAUUAGGAGGCAUCGAUAAGUGUUCAAAGCCCCUUUGGGUUAGUGCCAGUGAGAGGCCAUUGCCAAGUUAAAGUGAAAAUAUUGCGAUUCGCUGGAAGUUUAUAGUGAUACCAGCGACAAAAGUCGAAAAAAAUUUCAAAUCCAAGUAUUCUUCAUGUAAGGAAGUUCCCAAAAGCUUAAGCGAGUUGGUGGAACUCUGAAGAGCUAAUGAAAAGUGGUCACAUGAAGCAUGUUUACACAUCGAUAAAGUGGGAGAGUGUCAUUACCAUGCGAUAAGAUGCAGAAAAAAAGUUUUUUGAAGAAUUUGUGAGUGCUUCAAAGCAAGUUAUGCUUUUCUACAAGAAGAUGUGUUUGAGAUAAGUGAAUCCCUACGGGGCUAAUCUUGCUGGACGAAUUCCAUUAUCAAAUUUCUGAGGCAAAUCAAUUCGUUAUCUCGUGAGCUGAACGAAAACGACGUUAUCAUCAGAAGGCUGUUUAAGCACUAAUUUCUUCACCAUCUACAAACGAAGAGAAUUUUUGCCUAUAAACAGACUUCAGUUCAAUUGGGAAGAUAUCCGGAUAUCCACUUGCGAAUAGAAUUCAGUUAUCCAAAUUCGCCAUCGUUCUCUAUUGCUGUACCUGAGGAGAUUUUUUCUGCACGCGCACGUAACAUGACGAACAGAACCACCAAGGGAAAGACCACCUGCACAUCGCGAUUACACAAAUACCAAUGAGUCGGGACAGAACUCUCUUUCUCCUACCCACUACCCGAGCAUCCCCUGUCCUAUCACUGGAAAAGAUUCGAUUUCGCCCGGUUUGUUCCUUCGGGGACGACCCGGGCCACCAGAGGCACUCUUUCGAGCGGUUUCCAAUCUUUGGACGGCGUUUCAACCUUUCCCUCAAAACAAAAAAACCAUGCUCCAAUGGAAUAAUUUUUUAGGAUUAGUCGACGAUAAAAACACCUCUGCGGCAUAUAUGAAUAGAUCACACGGAAUAAAAACACCUCGAGAUCGAAAAUACAACACCCAGAAAUCUAGCGGCAUGCAGAUAUCGAAAACAAAAAAAAAUACGCACAUCUCUAAACCUCAUAUCUUUU